GAUGAACGCUAGCGGCAGGCUUAACACAUGCAAGUCGAGGGGCAGCAUAAAUAGUAGCAAUACUAUUGGUGGCGACCGGCGGACGGGUGCGUAACGCGUAUACAACCUUCCCUAAACAGGGGGAUAAUCUGGAGAAAUUCGGUCUAAUACCCCAUAACAUCAGAGCAGGCAUCUGUUUUGGUUAAAAUUUCCGGAGGUUUAGGAUGGGUAUGCGUAGCAUUAGCUAGUUGGUGAGGUAACGGCUCACCAAGGCGACGAUGCUUAGGGGGACUGAGAGGUUAACCCCCCACACUGGUACUGAGACACGGACCAGACUCCUACGGGAGGCAGCAGUGAGGAAUAUUGGUCAAUGGGCAGAAGCCUGAACCAGCCAUGCCGCGUGCAGGAUGACGGCUCUAUGAGUUGUAAACUGCUUUUGUACGAGGGUAAACCCAGGGACGUGUCCUUGGUUGAAAGUACCGUACGAAUAAGGAUCGGCUAACUCCGUGCCAGCCGCCGCCGUAA
rnacentral:rRNA from 1 species